UUAUCACGGCUUGGAAACGGAGGCAGCAUCUUUGACAGAGGCGUCACCUCCACCGUUACCCAUAGUAGCUGACUGGACAGUCAACACGGACAUGCUAGGCGAGGAAGGUCCUUCACCGUUGGACUGGAGCAAAUGGUGGUGGUGAUUGGAGUUAUUGGUGUUGAGGACUGGAUUCCGGGAGUGAGAGGUGGCGGUUGAAAUGGCAGUGGCGAGAGAAAUAGGCAUGAGGCAGAGGCCUUUUCCCUGUAAAUACUGCAUGGCGGAGCCCAUGUCUUCUUCCAUUAGCUUAGCGACUUGGUGUUCAGUGACAGUAAGGGUGUCGUUGGAAGACGGAGUUUGGGUAGCAUUAGUAGAGGUGCAAGGAAGGGACCCACCAUUAGCAGUG
rnacentral:misc_RNA from 1 species